rnacentral:rRNA from 1 species
AUUGAACGCUGGCGGCAGGCUUAACACAUGCAAGUCGAGCGAGCGGCGGACGGGUGAGUAAUGUCUGGGAAACUGCCUGAUGGAGGGGGAUAACUACUGGAAACGGUCGCUAAUACCGCAUACCAUCCGAUUUGCCCAGAUGUGAUUCGCUAGUAGGUGGGGUAAUGGCUCACCUAGGCGACGAUCCCUAGCUGGUCUGAGAGGAUGACCAGCCACACUGGAACUGGGAAACGGGCCAGACUCCAAGGGGAGGCAGCAGUGGGGAAUAUGGCACAAUGGGCGCAGGCCUGAUGAAGCAAUGCCGCGUGGGGGAAGAAGGCCUUCGGGUUGUAAAGCACUUUCAGCGAGGAGGCGUUACCCGCAGAAGAAGCACCGGCUAACUCCGUGCCAGCAGCCGCGGUAAUAC